rnacentral:rRNA from 1 species
UACGUAGGGUGCAAGCGUUGUCCGGAAUUAUUGGGCGUAAAGAGCUCGUAGGUGGUCUGUCGCGUCGGCUGUGAAAACUCGGGGCUCAACCCCGAGCCUGCAGUCGAUACGGGCAGACUUGAGUGCGGUAGGGGAGACUGGAAUUCCUGGUGUAGCGGUGAAAUGCGCAGAUAUCAGGAGGAACACCGGCGGCGAAGGCAGGUCUCUGGGCCACUACUGACGCUGAGAAGCGAAAGCAUGGGGAGCGAACAGG